rnacentral:rRNA from 1 species
CCUACGGGUGGCAGCAGUGGGGAAUAUUGGUCAAUGGGCGCAAGCCUGAACCAGCCAAGUAGCGUGAGGGAUGACUGCCCUACGUGUUGUAAACUUCUUUUGUAGGGGAGUAAAGUGAGGCACGUGUGCCUUUUUGUAUGUACUUUAUGUAUCAGGCUCGGCUAACUCCGCGCCAGCAGCCGCGGUAAUACGGAGGAUCCGAGCGUUAUCCGGAUUUAUGGGGUUUAAAGGGAGCGUAGAUGGGGUGUUAAGUCAGUUGUGAAAGUUUGGGGCUCAACCGUAAAAUUGCACUUGAUACUGGCAGUCUUGAGUACAGGUGAGGUAGGCGGAAUUCGUGGUGUAGCGGUGAAAUGCGUAGAUAUCACGAAGAACUCCGAUUGCGAAGGCAGCUUACUAAACUGCCACUGACAUUGAGGCUCGAAAGUGUGGGUAGCAAACAGGAUUAGAUACCCGUGUAGUC